GCCUGGCUGGCUCAGUCCAUAGAGCGUGUGGCUCUUGAUCUCGGGGGUGUGGGUUCGAGCCCCCACGCUGGGUG
rnacentral:tRNA from 1 species